rnacentral:misc_RNA from 1 species
GAUGAAGAACGUAGCGAAAUGCGAUAAGUAAUGUGAAUUGCAGAAUUCAGUGAAUCAUCGAAUCUUUGAACGCACAUUGCGCCCGCCAGUAUUCUGGCGGGCAUGCCUGUUCGAGCGUCAUUACAACCCUCAGGCCCCCGGGCCUGGCGUUGGGGAUCGGCGGAGCCCCCCGUGGGCACACGCCGUCCCCCAAAUACAGUGGCGGUCCCGCCGCAGCUUCCAUCGCGUAGUAGCUAACACCUCGCGACUGGAGAGCGGCGCGGCCACGCCGUAAAACACCCAACUCUUCUGAAGUUGACCUCGAAUCAGGUAGGAAUACCCGCUGAACUUAAGCAUAUCAUAAGCGGAGGA